CCGGGCAGCCGGGGUGGCAGCGGUACCCUGCACCAGCAAUCCGCUAUAGCUGGGGUGAUAUCCUGUCCCGGAUUGGAAAUUGCAAAGCAGCCCUUGAUAAGUGGCAUUGAAGUUUGGGUCUUGCGCAACAGGAAUCUGUGAACCGGGUCAGGUCAGGAAUGAAGCAGCCCUAAGCGGAAGCUCUUGUGUGCCGCGAGGCAGCCUGGGCGGAGUUAACUGUCAAGGUAACGUUUGUAAUCAAAAUUCAAAACAGGAUGCCCGG
rnacentral:SRP_RNA from 1 species